GACAGGGGGCCCGAGCGUUGUUCGGAAUCACUGGGCUUAAAGCGCGUGUAGGCGGUCCGGCAAGUGUCUUGUGAAAUCCCCCGUCUCAACCGGGGAACGGCUUGGCAAACUGCCGGACUUGAGAGAGGUAGAGGCGACUGGAACGUUAGGUGGAGCGGUGAAAUGCGUAGAUAUCUAACGGAACGCCUGUGGCGAAAGCGGGUCGCUGGGCCUCUUCUGACGCUGAGACGCGAAAGCGUAGGGAGCAAACGGG
rnacentral:rRNA from 1 species